rnacentral:rRNA from 1 species
AUUGAACGCUGGCGGCAGGCCUAACACAUGCAAGUCGAGCGAGCGGCGGACGGGUGAGUAAUGUCUGGGAACCUGCCUGAUGGAGGGGGAUAACUACUGGAAACGGUAGCUAAUACCGCAUACCAUCGGAUGAGCCCAGAUGGGAUUGGCUAGUAGGUGGGGUAACGGCUCACCUAGGCGACGAUCCCUAGCUGGUCUGAGAGGAUGAACAGCCACACUGGAACGUAGACACGUUCCAGACUCCUACGGUAGGCAGCAGUGGGGAAUAUUGCACAAUGGGCGCAAGCCUGAUGCAGCCAUGCCGAGUGUAUGAAGAAGGCCUUAGGGUUGUAAAGUACUUUCAGCGGGGAGGCGUUACCCGCAGAAGAAGCACCGGCUAACUCCGUGCCAGCAGCCGCGGUAAUUC